AGAGUUUGAUCAUGGCUCAGGAUGAACGCUAGCGGCAGGCUUAACACAUGCAAGUCGAACGGUAACAUGAGAGCUUGCUCUUGAUGACGAGUGGCGCACGGGUGCGUAACACGUAUGCAACCUACCCUUUACAGAAGAAUAGCCCCGAGAAAUCGGGAUUAAUACUUCAUAGUAUCAUAAGAUCGCAUGGUUUAAUGAUUAAAGAUUUGUCGGUAAAGGAUGGGCAUGCGGCCUAUUAGUUUGUUGGUGAGGUAACGGCUCACCAAGACUUCGAUAGGUAGGGGUUCUGAGAGGAUGAUCCCCCACACUGGUACUGAGACACGGACCAGACUCCUACGGGAGGCAGCAGUGAGGAAUAUUGGGCAAUGGAGGAAACUCUGACCCAGCCAUGCCGCGUGCAGGAAGACGGCCCUACGGGUUGUAAACUGCUUUUAUUUGGGAAGAAACCCUAUUACGUGUAAUAGGCUGACGGUACCAAACGAAUAAGCACCGGCUAACUCCGUGCCAGCAGCCGCGGUAAUACGGAGGGUGCAAGCGUUAUCCGGAUUUAUUGGGUUUAAAGGGUCCGUAGGCGGACUAUUAAGUCAGUGGUGAAAUCUUUCGGCUCAACCGGAAAACUGCCAUUGAAACUGAUAGUCUUGAAUAUGAUUGAAGUGGGCGGAAUAUGGCAUGUAGCGGUGAAAUGCUUAGAUAUGCCAUAGAACACCGAUAGCGAAGGCAGCUCACUAAGCCAUUAUUGACGCUAAGGGACGAAAGCGUGGGGAGCGAACAGGAUUAGANNCCCUGGNAGUCCACGCUGUAAACGAUGAUCACUCGAUANUGGCNANAANCUGUCAGUGUCUAANCGAAAGU
rnacentral:rRNA from 1 species